rnacentral:rRNA from 1 species
CUACGGGAGGCAGCAGUGGGGAAUAUUGCACAAUGGGCGCAAGCCUGAUGCAGCCAUGCCGCGUGUAUGAAGAAGGCCUUCGGGUUGUAAAGUACUUUCAGCGGGGAGGAAGGGAGUAAAGUUAAUACCUUUGCUCAUUGACGUUACCCGCAGAAGAAGCACCGGCAACUCCGUGCCAGCAGCCGCGGUAAUACGGAGGGUGCAAGCGUUAAUCGGAAUUACUGGGCGUAAAGCGCACGCAGGCGGUUUGUUAAAUCAGAUGUGAAAUCCCCGGGCUCAACCUGGGAACUGCAUCUGAUACUGGCAAGCUUGAGUCUCGUAGAGGGGGGUAGAAUUCCAGGUGUAGCGGUGAAAUGCGUAGAGAUCUGGAGGAAUACCGGUGGCGAAGGCGGCCCCCUGGACGAAGACUGACGCUCAGGUGCGAAAGCGUGGGGAGCAAACAGGAUUAGAUACCCUAGUAGUC